GGCGCUAUACUUUAAAACAAAAGAAUUGAUUUGCACUCAAAAAAUGAAACAAUAAGGUUUCUGGGGCC
rnacentral:tRNA from 1 species